GCUUUUAACAGAGGACUUUAUUUAUGUACAAAUGUUCAAUUUCAUUAUUUUUGGAAGACAUCUUUGAUUUAUAGCAUUUCUUUGCGUGUGUGUGUGUUCAUUGUCUUGGUUAUAAUCAUGGUGGAUGGCGUGUGUGUGAGGUUAAACUGCAGGUUGUGUGUGAGGUGUGAACAGCCAGGUGAGGACCUCUGAGGAAUUCUGCUUCCUGUUAUAUGGAAGUCGUGUUUAUCAGCAGUCUAUAAACUACACUCUCAUCUACACACUUCCUCUCAUCUUCUGAACUUCCUGAGAUUUUAUUCUUUAAAAAAAGUGUUUUUAUACAUAUUUUUCUGUUUGAUUACUUAUUCACGGUGUAAAGCAUUACCAGUAAAUUUGGAGUGAGUUCUGACCCGUGUGUCUCUCGUGCAGAGUGAGCACGCCGUACGCUGGGAGGAAAUCAGAACUUUGGAAAUCCAGUGGACUCCAGAAUGCAGAAGAGGAAGCUGCCUCGUCCUCCUCGUCCUCCUCGUCUUCAUCAGACCUCCAACUGCAAAGACUGAAUAAACUACACAGCCUCUUUUGCUCUGUAUCUCCUACAUAACUGCCUCAGAUCGGUUCCAUUUUUAUUGUUCAGUUAAAACACGUGUUAUUGUUUACGUGAGUGACUGCGCUGAUCCUGAGUCCGAAAUCAGAGCUGUGAUCUUCAUCCAGACUUCGAGCACUAAUCUCCAUAACCACCUUCUUCACUUCCUCACACAACCUGCUGAAUCACUGUAAAUACGAGGUGCUUGUGUAUCAAAUGAGAUUUUGUAAAAUGUGCCAACUACGUAGUAGUCCCCUACACACACACUCUCUCUCUCACACACACACUCUCACACACACACCUUUGUUUAUUUAGAUUGAUUUGUAUUUCUCUGUAGUUUUUUCUGAGAUCCUGCACAUCAGUUGUAAAAGGAUUCACAUUGACCACACACACACACACACACACACUUCAGACGUACACUAGUUGAUGUUUUUGCCUCUGCUUAGGACUUGGAUACGCUAGCGAAAGUUUCCACGAUGCAACAUUUCCGAUAAAUCCUGUUUCCAGAGUUCGAGCGUUCAGACUUCCACUGAUUCCUUCAGCUUUCACUAAACACUUAAAUACUUCCACAGUUGCUGCAGAAGCAUCUCCUGGAUCUCCUGGAUCUCCUGGAGCAGUAGAUUGGAAUGAUAUUUGGAGAUCUCUAACAGAGGAGUGUAUUAUAGCGUAUCCGAGCCCUAAGAAGAUUUAGUAUAAAUACUCCCUUUCUUCCCCCAGAGUGUGGGAGGACGGAGUGAAUUCAGAUCCUCAACAGUGUGAAAAUCUCACUUAACACAAACCACGAACUCACAGACAGCACUUUGUAGGUAUUAGAUAAAUAAAAAUGAAUAAGACGGUGUUUCUAAGUCAUGUAGUCGCUACCUCCAGUACAUAUCAGAAAUCUAUUCAAUAAAUCUGUCUCACAGUAACAACAGACCUGCAACUGGACAGCCUGGAAUCCCUUUAGAUGUAAUGUGUGAACUUACACACACACACACACACACACACGCACACACACAAAUAAUU
ensembl:lncRNA